CAAUAGCGUAUAUUAAAGUUGUUGCGGUAAAAAAGGCUCGUAGUUGGAUUUCUACCGAAGAUAGCCGGUCGGGUCUUCGACCUUGUAUCUGGUUUUGUCUUUGGUAUCCUCAUAGGGAACGUUUCUGCGCUUUAUUGCGUGGUGCGGUAUCUAUGACUUUUACUUUGAGGAAAUUAGAGUGUUCACGGCAGGCAAACGCCUUGAAUAUAUUAGCAUGGAAUAAUAACAUAGGAUCUUCGUCCUAUUUUGUUGGUUUCUAGGGCUAAGAUAAUGAUUAAUAGGGAUAAUUGGGGGCAUCUGUAUCAACGCGUCAGAGGUGGAAUUCUUGGAUUGCGUUGCGACAAACUACUGCGAAAGCAUUUGCCAAGGAUGUUUUCAUUGA
rnacentral:rRNA from 1 species